ACCCUGAAGCACAAGGGUUUAUUACAUGGCAAUUAUAGGAGGCCUAUUUCACAGGAAGUCCCAAAACUGGUACAUUAGAUAGUUUAAAAGAAAACAGACGUGCUGAGAAUCUCUUUCAUUGAUUAACAUUUAGCACCAUAAAAGCAGGUGUAAGUGGCAAGAAAUGCCACCCUACAGUGCCACUGUGAAGAAAAAAAAAAACAAGGCUGAUUUUGUGUGUUUAGGUAAACAGUGGUCACACUGUCUUUUCUCAACCUUAAUUCUCUCCCAAUAAGUGAGAGAACCUUCUGGUGUUUCCACAGCAACGCUCUAGACCAUCUCAGUGCUGCUGGCUGAAGAAGAACUUGGGGGCCUCUCGGUGGGUCAGCUUUCCUCCCUGCCUCACACCCCACUGACAGAAUGUGGUGGACAGAAUCAUAGCUGGCUGCCCCUUCUGCUGAGAGCCCCGAAUGCAACUAAACUGUUGUCAUGGAAAUAUGACCAACAGCCCUAAAUCCACUCAUUUAGAUACCACCCUUCACAGAAAGAAGGAAGAGCUGGUAAAGGAAGAGCAAACCUUCCCCACAGAGCAGGAUGACUGGGUUCUCACCUUCCCAGACUUGGACAGCGGCUACUGGAACACAGGAAGCUGAUACCCUCCCAACCAUGUUCUGUCACAGGGGGGAGGAUUCCAAACUGGAAAGUGCCCACUGCCAACAAGCCUGGCACAGACCUAAGAACAGUUCAGGUCUCAAGUGCCUUCCUCAAAGCCCGCUGUCCUCGCUUCAACUGGUCCACCUGUUUCCAGGUGAGAGGAUUCACCCACCUCACCAGAGUUUCUCCACCUCCGCACUGCUGGCAUGUGGGGGCCAGAGAAUUUGAAUGCGGGACCUGUCCUGUGCAUUGUAGGAUGUUUAGGGCCGCAUCUUUGACCUCUCCCUACUAGAUGCCAGUAGCACCCCUAGCUAUGACCGUCAAAGCCUCCAGACAUUGCCCAACGUCCCCUGAGGCGCAAGUUCAAUCCAGUUGAGAACCAUAUGCUCAAAACACUGGCAGAGCUUCUACCAAAAGCAAAUGAGUAAUGAGUCAGUCGGCAUGUGCCAGUUCCUACACUUCCUUGGUGGGCAGCACUUCACACUCUCAGGAUUCAUUCUCUGGUUCUUUGUUACAAUAAUACUUGGCUCAGCCUUGAAAUAUCCUAGUUUACUUCCAAAAACUGUACAAAGCAAUGGGGGAAAAAUAACCUUGACCUUGGCAUUCAGAUAGACUUGCGUUUGGGUCCUGGUUCCAGCACAGGCUCUCUAUGAGGUAGGAAGGACAGUAACUUCUCUGGGCCUUGGGUUCCUCGAGUGUACAGUAAGACUAGUACUGCCCACCACACCGGCUGACGGUGAGAAUAACAGGGUUACGUAUGCAGAGUGCCCAGUCCGUUUCAUCCUGCCCGUGCUCAGGAAUUAGAAGCAAUCAUCAGUGCUACUGGAGCAACGGUCCACAGGAGAAUGAGCUGCUGAACAAGAGAAAAAGAAACCGGUCACCAUGGCAACCGCAACUUCACAAUCUAUCGUGAGAGAACAGCUCGCUUCCUUUCUUACCCCUUUGGCUGCACCAGAUGGAAUGAGAAAGAAAAGCCCUUCUCUCUUUGCCACGUGUGACAUUCUCUCUCUGGCCUUUCACUGAGGUCUCAGAUGCGAAAAUGCAGAAGAGAUUCCCUCCCAAGGCUUAAAGCUACCAUCACACUGACAGAUCUCAAGGCUUCCUCUUAACUCCUACCUGGUACACAUACGUAAUUCUGGAUCCGUUUAACAGAUAACCUGUGUCAGAGACUACAGAACCUGAGCUGCAGGAGGGGCACCAAGAACUGCAUAUUUUGUCCCACUUCUAGACCAGCUACACUUCCAGUCCUCUGGGAGUCCUGAUGAAGCAAACAACUCAGUUAUCACGUCCUUGGCUCCCUUUAACCUCCACCACAGCCAUCGGCUUUGACUGGGAACUGGUCGGGGAGGCGAGAAUGCAACAUAGCAAGCGUCCCGGGGGUCCGUCUCCCAUCGAAAAGCACAUCUCUCUUCAGCUCCCAAUAAAACAGAAGUAACCAGGAAGCACUGGGUCGUCCCUGCCUAUCAACGUCUCGUAUACUCACAGUUACAGUACAUACCUGUGGACUGUGGGUGUGAUAUUAGGAACGGCAACACAACGCAGUGUGGAGUGUGACAACAGACCGACUAGAAGGAAGCCCAGCCAUUUCGUGCCAGUGCUCCCUCUUCCGUCCUCAAGCCCCAUGUAUCUCCACAGAUCUGCUUGUCUGAUGAGGAAACAAUACGUAACACCACAGCAACUUAGAACCCAGUAUCAUAAAGACCCAGAGAGACAGUCAACGCCAGACACACGGAGAAGAAAAACAGCCCCCCCACACACAGGUGAAGCUGUAUUAAGUCUUCUCUGUGACCAUUUUCAGCAAGAAGCAAACAUUGACACGGCAAGUUCAUGAACAGUGGGAUUUCACAGAACGUGGUUUUCUUUCAUGCUGAGACGUUUCCUUAAUUUCAGUUCAUCCCUAGUAUUCUUCUCAGUGCUCUCAGCUAUCUCUUGUUCUCAGCCACAAUCUGACCUGGGGUAUUUUUGGCUGAUUGUGAAUGGACCGUGCUCUAACAACUGAGUCCUUUCUCUCCUUUCUAGACAUAGUCACCCAACCACUCACAGAUUUAUUUCACUGAAGUUACACUG